CCAUGUUUGACUCCACCUCCAACCG
rnacentral:miRNA from 1 species